AGAGUUUGAUCAUGGCUCAGGAUGAACGCUGGCGGUAUGCCUAACACAUGCAAGUCGUACGAGAGUUUUUUACUCAAGUGGCGGACGGGUGAGUAACACGUGAGAAUUUGCCUUUAGGAGAGGGAUAACAAUUGGAAACGAUUGCUAAUACCUCAUAUGCUUUAGAGUGAAAUAGAUUUAUCUGCCUAAAGAAAAGCUCGCGGCUGAUUAGCUAGUUGGUAAGGUAAUGGCUUACCAAGGCGACGAUCAGUAUCUGGUUUGAGAGGACGAUCAGACACACUGGAACUGAGACACGGUCCAGACUCCUACGGGAGGCAGCAGUGGGGAAUUUUCCGCAAUGGGCGAAAGCCUGACGGAGCAAUACCGCGUGAGGGAAGACGGCCUAUGGGUUGUAAACCUCUUUUUUCAGGGAGGAAUUAANG
rnacentral:rRNA from 1 species